rnacentral:pre_miRNA from 10 species
GAGGCAGGGGCGAGGGGCUGCGGGGGGAGCCGGGCGGAGACUGCGGCUUUUGGUUUCGCUUUCUCUGUUUCCCCUCCCU